rnacentral:lncRNA from 1 species
CUAACCCAUUCACACACUAACCCAUUCAUUCACACACUAACUCACCCACUCGUUCACACACCCACUCAUUCACACACUAGCCCACUCAUUCACACACCCAUUCACACACUAACUCACCCACUCAUUCACACACUAACUCCCCCACUCAUUCACAAACUCGCCCACUCGUUCACACACUAACUCACCCACUCAUUCACACACUAACCCAUUCAUUCACACAGUCACCCACUCAUUCACACACUAACUCACCCACUCGUUCACAACCCAUUCACACACUAACCCACCCAUUCAUGCACUAACCCACUCUUUCACACACCAACUCACCCACUCAUUCACACACCCACUCAUUCACACACUAACUCACCCACUCGUUCACACACCCAUUCACAAAAUCCCUCAUUCACACACUAACCCAUUCACACACUAACUCAGCCACUCGUUCACACACCCAUUCACACACUAACUCAUCGACUCAUUCACAUGCCCACUCAUUCACACAGUAACUCACCCACUCAUUCACAAACUUGCCCACUGCUUCACACACUAACUCGCCCACUCACACACUAACUUGCCCACUCGUUCACAAACUCACCCAUUCAUUCAUACACUAACCCACCCACUUAUUCACACACUAACUCAUUCACACAACCCAACUUAUUCACACACUAACCCACUCAUUCACACACUAACCCACCCACUCAUUCACAAACUAACCCAUUCAUUCACAAACUCACCCACUCGUUCACACACCCACUCAUUCACACACCUACUCAUUCACACACUAACUCGCCCACUCAUUCAUACAGUAACUCGCCCACUCAUUCACACUAACUCGCCCACUCGUUCACACACUAACUUGCCCACUCGUUCACACACUAACUUGCCCACUCGUUCACAAACUCACCCAUUCACACACUCACUCAUUCAUACACUAACCCACCCACUUAUUCACACACUCAUUCACACAACCCAACUUAUUCACACACUAACCCACUCAUUCACACACUAACCCACCCAUUCACAAACCCAUUCAUUCACAAACUCACCCACUCAUUCACACACCCACACACUCACCUACUCAUUCACACACUAACUCGCCCACUCAUUCACACACUAACUUGCCCACUCUUUCACUAACCCACUCAUUCACACACUCAUUCACACACUAACCCGUUCAUACACUCACCUAUUCAUUCACACACUAACCUGCCCACUCAUUCACAAACUCAUUUACACACCCACUCAUUCACACUAACCCACUCAUUCACACACUACCUCACCCAUUCACACUAACCCACUCGUUCACACACCCAUUCACACUCACCCACUCAUUUGCACACUAACUCACCCACUCAUUCACACUAACCCACUCACUGAUUCAUUCACACACUAACUCAUUCACACACUAACUCACCCAUUCACACAC